rnacentral:pre_miRNA from 2 species
GGGAGGUGUGAUCCUGUUCUUCCUGAGCGGUGUGAUCCUGUGCUCCCUGGGGGGUCUGAUCCUGUGCUUCCU